rnacentral:rRNA from 1 species
UACAGAGGGUGCAAGCGUUAAUCGGAAUUACUGGGCGUAAAGCGUGCGCAGGCGGUUUUGUAAGCCAGAUGUGAAAUCCCCGGGCUUAACCUGGGAAUGGCAUUUGGGACUGCAAGGCUCGAGUGCGGCAGAGGAGACUGGAAUUCCUGGUGUAGCAGUGAAAUGCGUAGAUAUCAGGAGGAACACCGAUGGCGAAGGCAGGUCUCUGGGCUGACACUGACGCUCAUGCACGAAAGCGUGGGGAGCAAACAGG